rnacentral:rRNA from 1 species
GACGAACGUUGGCGGCGUGCUUAACACAUGCAAGUCGAACGGAAAGGCCCUGCUUUUGUGGGGUGCUCGAGUGGCGAACGGGUGAGUAACACGUGAGUAACCUGCCCUUGACUUUGGGAUAACUUCAGGAAACUGGGGCUAAUACCGGAUAGGAGCUCCUGCUGCAUGGUGGGGGUUGGAAAGUUUCGGCGGUUGGGGAUGGACUCGCGGCUUAUCAGCUUGCUGGUGGGGUAGUGGCUUACCAAGGCUUUGACGGGUAGCCGGCCUGAGAGGGUGACCGGCCACAUUGGGACUGAGAUACGGCCCAGACUCCUACGGGAGGCAGCAGUGGGGAAUAUUGCACAAUGGGCGGAAGCCUGAUGCAGCAACGCCGCGUGCGGGAUGACGGCCUUCGGGUUGUAAACCGCUUUCGCCUGUGACGAAGCGUGAGUGACGGUAAUGGGUAAAGAAGCACCGGCUAACUACGUGCCAGCAGCCGCGGUGAUACGUAGGGUGCGAGCGUUGUCCGGAUUUAUUGGGCGUAAAGGGCUCGUAGGUGGUUGAUCGCGUCGGAAGUGUAAUCUUGGGGCUUAACCCUGAGCGUGCUUUCGAUACGGGUUGACUUGAGGAAGGUAGGGGAGAAUGGAAUUCCUGGUGGAGCGGUGGAAUGCGCAGAUAUCAGGAGGUACACCAGUGGCGAAGGCGGUUCUCUGGGCCUUUCCUGACGCUGAGGAGCGAAAGCGUGGGGAGCGAACAGGCUUAGAUACCCUGGUAGUCCACGCUGUAAACGGUGGGUACUAGGUGUGGGGUCCAUUCCACGGGUUCCGUGCCGUAGCUAACGCUUUAAGUACCCCGCCUGGGGAGUACGGCCGCAAGGCUAAAACUCAAAGGAAUUGACGGGGCCCCGCACAAGCGGCGGAGCAUGCGGAUUAAUUCGAUGCAACGCGUAGAACCUUACCUGGGUUUGACAUGGAUCGGGAGUGCUCAGAGAUGGGUGUGCCUCUUUUGGGGUCGGUUCACAGGUGGUGCAUGGCUGUCGUCAGCUCGUGUCGUGAGAUGUUGGGUUAAGUCCCGCAACGAGCGCAACCCUUGUUCACUGUUGCCAGCACGUUAUGGUGGGGACUCAGUGGAGACCGCCGGGGUCAACUCGGAGGAAGGUGGGGAUGACGUCAAGUCAUCAUGCCCCUUAUGUCCAGGGCUUCACGCAUGCUACAAUGGCUGGUACAGAGAGUGGCGAGCCUGUGAGGGUGAGCGAAUCUCGGAAAGCCGGUCUCAGUUCGGAUUGGGGUCUGCAACUCGACCUCAUGAAGUCGGAGUCGCUAGUAAUCGCAGAUCAGCAACGCUGCGGUGAAUACGUUCCCGGG